UACGUAGGGGGCUAGCGUUGUCCGGAAUCAUUGGGCGUAAAGAGCGUGUAGGCGGCCCGGUAAGUCCGCUGUAAAAGUCAAGGGCUCAACCCUUGAAUGCCGGUUGAUACUGUCGGGCUAGAGUCCGGAAGAGGCGAGUGGAAUUCCCGGUGUAGCGGUGAAAUGCGCAGAUAUCGGGAGGAACACCAAUGGCGAAGGCAGCUCGCUGGGACGGUACUGACGCUGAGACGCGAAAGCGUGGGGAGCAAACAGG
rnacentral:rRNA from 1 species